rnacentral:rRNA from 1 species
AUUGAACGCUGGCGGCAUGCUUUACACAUGCAAGUCGGACGGCAGCACAGAGAAGCUUGCUUCUUGGGUGGCGAGUGGCGAACGGGUGAGUAAUAUAUCGGAACGUACCGAGUAAUGGGGGAUAACUAAUCGAAAGAUUAGCUAAUACCGCAUAUUCUCUGAGGAGGAAAGCAGGGGACCUUCGGGCCUUGCGUUAUUCGAGCGGCCGAUAUCUGAUUAGCUAGUUGGUGGGGUAAAGGCCUACCAAGGCGACGAUCAGUAGCGGGUCUGAGAGGAUGAUCCGCCACACUGGGACUGAGACACGGCCCAGACUCCUACGGGAGGCAGCAGUGGGGAAUUUUGGACAAUGGGCGCAAGCCUGAUCCAGCCAUGCCGCGUGUCUGAAGAAGGCCUUCGGGUUGUAAAGGACUUUUGUCAGGGAAGAAAAGGCUGUUGCUAAUACCGACAGCUGAUGACGGUACCUGAAGAAUAAGCACCGGCUAACUACGUGCCAGCAGCCGCGGUAAUACGUAGGGUGCGAGCGUUAAUCGGAAUUACUGGGCGUAAAGCGAGCGCAGACGGUUACUUAAGCAGGAUGUGAUAUCCCCCGGGCUCUGCCUGUGGAACUGCGUUCUUAACUUGGGUGACUAGAGUGUGUCAGAGGUAGGUAGAAUUCCUCGUGUAGCUGUGAAAUGCGUGUAAUGUGUAUGAAUAUCGAUGGGAAAGGCAUGCUCUUGUGUUAUGCUGACGUUCUGGUUGUAUAGUGUGGGGUGAGAUGAUAUUGUAUACUCUGUUGGUCUGUGGUGGUGUUCUGUGUGUGUGUGUGUUUUGUGAACGUGGCUGUCGGGAUAACAGCGCAGUGUGCAGUGUUUUGUUGUGUUGUUAUGGUUAAUAUAAUAUGCCCCUUCUUACUGCUGCUUGAUUAUUGUGUGUAUAUGGUUGUGUGGGUGUGCUGUGUGUUUGUCUUGUCUGUUGUUGUAGUGUGUGCAAUGCAGGUGUGCUGUGAUGCUUGUUGGUGGUUGUGUGGUGUGUUGCUUGUCUGUGUGGAAUGA